rnacentral:rRNA from 1 species
AGCAGCCGCGGUAAUUCCAGCUCCAAUAGCGUAUAUUAAAGUUGUUGCAGUUAAAAGCUCGUAGUUGAAUUUCGGGAUUGACACAUCGGUCGUGCCUUAAGGGGUAUGAACUGGUGUAGUCAAUUUCUCACCUUCUGGAGAACCGCGAUGUCCUUAAUUGGGUGCCGCGAGGAACCAGGACCUUUACUUUGAAAAAAUUAGAGUGUUUAAAGCAGGCAUUUUUGCUUGAAUACAUUAGCAUGGAAUAAUAAAAUAGGACGGCAUGAUUCUAUUUUGUUGGUUUCUAGGAUCACCGUAAUGAUUAAUAGGGAUAGUUGGGGGCAUUAGUAUUCAAUUGUCAGAGGUGAAAUUCUUGGAUUUAUUGAAGACUAACUACUGCGAAAGCAUUUGCCAAGGAUGUUUUUCAUUAAUCAAGAACGAAAGUUAGGGGAUCGAAGACGAUCAGAUACCGUCGUAGUCUUAACCAUAAACUAUGCCGACUAGGAAUCAGACGAUGUUAAUCUUUAAUGACUCGUUUGGC